UACAUCAUAACAUAUUACAUUUCGAUACAUAUCUCUACCUUACAUCAUGUCCACUACUAGUCUAUUACAUAAACAUGACCAUGGUCAUAACCUGCUGAUCUCCUGACUAUCUCUGACCCUGCAAACCUGGGGUUAGGGGAGAGGGGUGAGCUACAAAAGCCCAGUGAGCAGAACUAAAGAGAAAAACAGUUUAUUAUAUCAUAUGCUUUCAUGACAUGCAUCACAUCACAAACAAUACACAUCAAGGAUGAAUUCGUCACCAUUAGCCCUCUACAUCUAGAUCUCAUCUCAUAACAAUCCAACAAUGCUCUAUGCCAGGGGCGAUACGGCCACGCUUGGACUACACAUAACUCUAUGCCAGGGGCGAUACGGCCACCCUGGUCUUUCAUACUCUAUGCCAGGGGCGAUACGGCCACACCUGGUCUUUUCAUACUCUAUGCCAGGGGCGAUACGACCACACCUGGUCUUUUCAUACUCUAUGCCAGGGGCGAUACGGUCACACCUGGUCUUUUCAUACUCUAUGCCAGGGGCGAUACGGCCACACCUGGUCUUUUCAUACUCUAUGCCAGGGGCGAUACGGCCACACCUAGUCUUUUCAUCUCAUAUCAUGCCAUACAUGUCAUAUCAUGUCAUAUUAUGUCAUAUCACAUCGUACUGAGGGCUAAUGGAUCAUUCAAUAUUCAUCCGCAUCAUCAUACAUCGAAUUAUGCAAUGCAACAUAUUCGUGAUCUCUAAUGCAACAACC
rnacentral:lncRNA from 1 species